rnacentral:rRNA from 1 species
GAUGAACGCUGGCGGCGUGCCUAAUACAUGCAAGUCGAGCGAACAGACGAGGAGCUUGCUCCUCUGACGUUAGCGGCGGACGGGUGAGUAACACGUGGAUAACCUACCUAUAAGACUGGGAUAACUUCGGGAAACCGGAUCUAAUACCGGAUAAUAUAUUGAACCGCAUGGUUCUAUAGUGAAAGACGGUUUUGCUGUCACUUAUAGAUGGAUCCGCGCCGCAUUAGCUAGUUGGUAAGGUAACGGCUUACCAAGGCAACGAUGCGUAGCCGACCUGAGAGGGUGAUCGGCCACACUGGAACUGAGACACGGUCCAGACUCCUACGGGAGGCAGCAGUAGGGAAUCUUCCGCAAUGGGCGAAAGCCUGACGGAGCAACGCCGCGUGAGUGAUGAAGGUCUUCGGAUCGUAAAACUCUGUUAUUAGGGAAGAACAAAUGUGUAAGUAACUAUGCACGUCUUGACGGUACCUAAUCAGAAAGCCACGGCUAACUACGUG